rnacentral:rRNA from 1 species
UCCUACAACCAUACUACCCUGAACAUGCCAAAUCUCAUGUGAUCUCAGAAACUAAGUAGGGUUGGGCCUGGUUAGUAUAGGAU